GGCCCCUUAGCUCAGUUGGUUAGAGCACGCGACUCAUAAUCGCUUGGUCACUGGUUCAAGUCCAGUAGGGGCAACCA
rnacentral:tRNA from 1 species